rnacentral:rRNA from 1 species
UACGUAGGGGCCAAGCGUUGUCCGGAUUUAUUGGGCGUAAAGAGCUCGUAGGCGGUUCGGCAAGUCAGCUGUGAAAUCUCCACGCUCAACGUGGAGGGGUCAGCUGAUACUGCUGUGACUCGAGUCCGGUAGGGGAGUGUGGAAUUCCCGGUGUAGCGGUGAAAUGCGCAGAUAUCGGGAGGAACACCAGUGGCGAAGGCGGCGCUCUGGGCCGGAACUGACGCUGAGGAGCGAAAGCGUGGGUAGCAAACAGG